UAUUUUUUUAUAGCAACACAAGAACAGACUAACAUAGAACUCGAAUGAAUGAAUUCUGUCCUCAACUGCAGUAACUGUAAGGAGGUAUUAUUACAUUUUCUCUCCCCAAGUGAGAAAGACUAAUCCUAUAACACUACCGUAAGUUCUCAUUGUAUGACACUCAAGUUGAGCUUUCAUGAAGGCUCUCAAAUAGAGUUGGUGUUUUUAUGGUAUUGUUCACAUGUUCUUAAUUUUGUUUAUUCCUCAACUUUUAAAUGUUCAGAAAAGUUUUUUAAAUAUGGACUUUUGAUAAGAAAAUUUAAGAUGAUCAUGAACUGCAUGACAUUUUAUCAUCAUCAAGCUACAGAAUGCUUCUAUUUUGUUUCAUUUACUUUGGUUUUACUUUUUUCUCUAUUAUCUUCUGUCUCUAAUCUCACAGCCCCCUCCAACCAUAGUCAGCUUUUAUAAUACAUAUGAAAUAUAUACUAUUUAUAAUAUAUAUGUUCAUCCAUUCUACCUUUUACACACACAUACACACACACAGAAGAUGUGAAAAAUUUUGGCAUUCACUGUGCUUAAUUUACAUAGAUGACACUGUGGUAUAAGUAUCUUUCUAACUUUUCUUAUUCAACACUGUUUUUAAAGAUCUACUCAUGAUGCUACAUAUAAGCAUAAGUGAUUGCUUUUUACAUUCCAUUACACGCCAUGCUAUUCAUACAUUGGUAAGUCUACUAACAGUAACAGCUCUACCAUGAACAUGAACACACCUUAUCCUUGAGCACCUGAGUGAUUCGUGGAGGGUAUAUUCAGCAGUAGAAUUGUUGGAUUGUUGGGUAUAUCCAUACUAAAUGUCAGCAAACUCAGUGAGAUUAUUUUCCCAAAUAGCUCUAUUAGAUUAUAUUCUCACCAGCAAGGUAUCAGGGAUUCCACUUCUAUGUAUCUUCACCAGCAUUUGAUGUUAUGCAACUUUUUAGUUUUUGUCGAUCUGAUGAUUAUAGACUGACACUUUAUCAAUGAUUUAAUUAGUAUUGUCCUAAUUUUGAAAGAGUUUGGGCAUCUUUUAAUAUUUACUACCCAUUUAGGUUUCUCUUUCUGUGAAUUGCCUAUUCAGAGAUAUUGCUUAUUUCUUUAGGUUUUCUUUCUUUUUCUCUUUUCUUUUUAAAAAUGUGCCAUAUGGACAGUCUUUUUUAAAUGCCUUUAACAUUCGGAAAACUUUGGACUUUCCUAAGAGCUAUACAAGUGUCAUGGGUAAACUUUUUGCGUUGACUUUGACUUUCAAGAAACCUACAGCCAUAUCUCACAUGUAAUCACAGCUGUAUUUUCCCUUUCAGCAAGUGUAUUCGCAUUCUUGUACUUUCUUGGAACCUAAUUUUUGCAUUCAAUGUUAUUAUUAACUUUAUUUUUAUGUCUCUUGUCAUAACCUAACUCAAAAGAUGUUUUGAAGGAGUCAGGCAUAAGUGAAUCAAUAAGCUUAUUUUUUUUCAAAAUGUUCCAGUUUAAUUUAAAUUGGUCUUCUAGCUAGAACAAAAUGUGUUCCCACUCACCUUAAAGUGACAAUAGGCUUCUGAAUUCCAUGGCUGUAGGUGUCAUCUAGUUCAACAACACAUUUUCAAAUAGGAGAUGGAAGACCACAGAAGUCACCUGAAGCUGUUUAGGAGACACAGGCUGGAGCCUGGCAUUAAAUCUGGUUUUUCUUUUCUUUUUAUUCAUUAAUGUAAUUUAAAAAAUUUUUGGUUUCUAUUUUGCUUAGUAGAAAAGGUUUAUAUAUGGAUCACAUGUCUGUGUGUGUAUCUCUGUGUGAAAGUGUCUGUUUUUUGUAACGCUUAUGUAUUUUUCUUCCCCUCUCUCAUUGGCAUUUAUCUUGAUGUAAUUGACGUGAGGUUUCUGGUCCUCAUAAAUUUCCUAUUAUUUCUGAAGCUUUGAAAAAUUAUUAAAUCUAAUUUAGAAGUGUAAAAUUCCAACUCAAACUUUGGAAGUCAAGUUAAAACUCCUCUGUUUGGUAAUCUCUGAGAUGCUAUAUACAAAUAUCAUCCUACUUACUAAUUGUUCAGCUCUUUUCUUAAAUCAUACAUGAAUGACUUGUCAAAGAUAAAGUACUGGCAUCAGAAAGAUUCUCAAUAUCAGGACUUGAAGGUCAUGUUACACCUCAGUCUGGAGCUUCUGAGAAUGGACCCCUGAUCUCCUAUCCUUGUAGAAUCCACACUUCCCUGGUGAGGCCUAAACCACAGCUGGGAAGAACCCCAUGUUCCUGACCUGGAUCAAGGGAAUGCUACCCCCACAAUGGUGAUACUAAUGCUUUUUCACAGAAAGUGGCUUCCAAGUUGAACAAGACAGGCAAAGGGGACAUGGCAAAUCCUCCUCUUACCACUUAUGCUUAGAGUGACAUGUCUGUUCAUGUUCACAAGUUGGUGUUAAAGCAACUCACAUGGCCAUAUCUGUCUAGAAGGGGUCAGGGGAGUGCAACUCUUUUAUGUACCCAGAAAGGGGGAGAAAUAUUUGGUAAAGACUACUAAUGACUACCACCGUCUGCAACCCUCACUUUUUCUAACUAUGAUUGUAAUGACACCCUUUGCCUUUACAGAGUAUAGCUGUGCCUAAUCAAAGGGCACACCAGCCAGAUCUAGAGAUGGGAGUGACUUCUAAGGAGCAUGGACUUCACCUGGGAAGGUGAUGGGCUUGCUGGGGAGCUGUGGUAUUUGAGACCCAGAUGGUUGACUCAUGAAACAGUAAUCCAGGAGUGAAACAGAAACCAAGCUCUUAGGCAGGCAGUACUACCAAGUCAUCAAUAUGAAGGGACCAGGCAGAGAGCAGGAGACUCGGAUACUGGGGAAAUCAGACAAAACAAGAACCCACCUACCUGCCCUCUGUCCUCCUGACUCCCACAAGUACUUUUUGUGCACUUAUGAAGUGGCAAGUACUAUUUGAGGUUCUAGGGAUUUAGCAGUGGAAAGACCAGUGGAGGAACUAAAACAAUUAAAAAAGUGUCUGAGGACUUGAGUGUACACAGGGGGAGAGACCCUGUCAAAGGUCAUGUGUGUGCACUCUAUGCUCAGUAUUUCAUACCCAUGGCUCAUUUGAAACAUGCAAGAACUCAAAGAGGAAGUGAAUCUAAGUGUCAAGACAGUCCCUGCUCUUUUCAGGCUUAUGGUAUUAACAGCAUCACAUCACAAAAUGUUGUCAGGUUCUUGGGGCAGCAACAAUGCUUUCACUUAUAAAAUGUGACUACAGUUCUUAAGUUGGUUCCUCUGGACCUCUGUCAUCGACACACACAAACAUGCACAGUCACUAGUUAGGUUAAGUUGAAUUUGGCUUAAGAAGGGCUAGAAAAAGGCUUCUGAACUGUUGAAACCAUGCUAGGGGCCAGUUGGUGGAUUUUUCACCAAAAGGGUCAUACAAAUGUCUAGGUUUUUCAGUGUGAGAUAUCCAUAUUCUAAAACGCCAUUCUGAGCAGGAAGCAAGAAAGGAUUGUACAAAGGCUACAUUAAAAGUAUAAUGAAGCCAAAUUCUUCUGCUCCAGUUUAGAAGGGGUUUUGCACUUUUUAGGGUGGAAUACUUAAAACUCAAAAUUCACAGAUCAAACAGGUACACAGGCCACAGGUACUCAGGGGUUGGAUGUUACCAAAGGGUUAAAAAAAAAAA